rnacentral:misc_RNA from 1 species
UUGAUCGGCACCAGAGACAGCUUGCUGCACUGGUUGUUUCCAAGGUUUUCUGUUACUUGGGUGAUUUAAAUGAUUCCUUAUCAUAUGCCCUUGGAGCUGGUUCUCUUUUUGAUGUCUCUGAGGAUUCUGAUUAUGUUCAUUCUCUUCUUGCUAAGGCGAUAGAUGAGUAUGCUAGUCUGAAGGCAAAGGCAACUGAAUCAAAUGCUGAGGCAGCAAAUGUGGACCCUAGGCUAGAGGCAAUUGUGGAGAGAAUGCUGGACAA